GCGCCGCUAGCUUAAUUGGAUAGAGCAUCGGUCUACGGAACCGAAGGUUGGAGGUUCGAGUCCUCCGCGGCGCG
rnacentral:tRNA from 1 species